GAGAUUUGUAUAACUGGUUUUUGGAGAUAGGGUCUUACUACAUAGUCCUGGCUGGCCUUGAACUAGCUAUGUGCAUCUCAUUGUCCUUGAAGCCACUGAGAUUCCCCUUCCUACGUCUCCCAAAUUCUGGGGUCAAAGGUGUGGGCCAUCUCGUGUAGUCUAGACUAAAUCUUUUGGCUUUGCUGCUACCUAAUAACCUGGGGGCCGGUCAAACCAAACUGGAAAUUCUUAUAGCUCAAAAGAGACUUGUCCAGCCUCCCCACCACACCCCAGCAACCCUCAAGGCUUCUUGGACUGAAGUCUGCUGUGUUGAGUGUAGAUAGAUCCUCAAGUCAGGGAACUGAGGCUGGAGCGGUAGCUCCAUAGUUAAGACUACUUCCCUCUUCCAGAGGACAAAAGUUCAGUUCCCGGCACCCACACCAUGUGGCUCCCAACCACCUUUAACUCCAGCUCCAAAGGAUCCAGUGCCCUCUGCUGUACGUGCUCACACAGAAGUGCCCACCUACUUUUAAGUAAAAAUAACUCCUGAGAAAAUAACUUGACUCGAGACAGAAAGAUGAUAAAAACAAUGGGUCAGGGUGGGGUGAGACAGGGGUUCCAAUCCAGCUGUGUCUCAUAUGUAACUUGGCAGUGCAGUUUCCUGGUGCCUCAAGAUGAAUCCUAGGUGUGUGAUCUACUUCUGUUGGCUUAGGUCAUGGCUCAGCAAGAGAUUUUCAGUGAUUAUACCAAGUUCGUCAGUACACAACUCUGAUCCCAGAGAAUCGGAGGCAGGGGGACGGAGUGGCCUGGGCUAUUUACUAAGACCUUAUCACAAAAACAAAAACCAGGCUAUCCUUUAAAUGGCUUAUUGGCUGUGCUGCCCACAACACUUCCCAGAAUCCUAUGUGCAUAGCCCAGUAGCCGAGAGAAUCAAACACAUCCCGGACAUCCUGUCUCAGAACUGGUGUGGCUGCAGAGUCAGACACCGGGGUUUAUACCAGGUAACCCAGGGUCAUCAGCACUUGUCAUUCUGGUCACAUUAGGGUGCUGUGGCCUCUCUCAGGAGGUGUUAGUCCUCAUCUUGCGUCUGAGGGAUGUUUUACUUCUUGGUCAGGAAUUAGGUUGUAGAAGGAUCUCUGUCACUGAUCCUAACUUUUAAUAGCUGGCAAAUGUGCUACUCUGUUGCCUUUCCAUAUCUCUGGGGACCUUGCUAGAAAAGCAAGUCUUUGGGCCCAACAUUGACCAGCCUCGCCAUCUUGGAUCACCUGUAUUAGCCUUCCAAACAGUGGGCUUUGCUUUGUCUCCACCAUCUUUGAUCAGCCUCCAAAUUGGCAUCCAACAAGGAUGAGUUUUGCCUGCUCUUCAUCCUGGUGGUAUCUGCACUCUGCUCUAACCAGAGCAGCUUUCCUCUCUCCGCCAUCUUGGAUCCUCCAUAUUGGCCUUUCAGGUUCUCAGAGACCACACUGUAACAUUGGGAACCACCAUGACAGCACUUGUCAGCCAUCAACAGUGACCCAGAAGAGCUAUUUGACUCCCAGGUCCAGCCCAAACACAGGACCAGCAAACUCAGUGAUGGAGUGCUUCCUCUCCCAGGAGCCGAAGCCAGGAAUGGUUGGUUAGACAUGACUGGAUCCAGCUGUGAGGAUAGAACCUUCCAGAAAUGUGUUUCAGGUGACCCUCAACUACCUCAGGUUUGAAGACCCUAAGUUAAAAUUCGAUUGCCACACUAGGGACAAACCGAGGGAUGUGGUUAAAUCUUGGUGAUAACCUAAAUGUCUCAAGCUUAUAACAAACUCAAACCGCGCAGGGGUGGGGUUGGUUUUUGUUUGCUUAUGCCCGCCCCUUCUGUUUUUAACCCUUUCCACUGUUUUCCAUUAGAGUAGUCCCUGUAAGCAAAUCUCACUUUUCACCGAGUGCCUACCUUCCCAGGGCAGGUAGCCACUGGCUCUUGUUUCCUCCCCCACAGGACUUUUAUUAUGGAAUGAAGACCUUUCUUUGUAUAAUGCAUUGCAUCUGUGGUUUCAUUUUUUUUUUCCCAAUAAAUAUGUCAUCCUGACUGUGGAGAACACGGGCG
rnacentral:lncRNA from 1 species